rnacentral:ncRNA from 1 species
UGUCUUCAGGGCGGGGUGCAAGUCCCCACCGGCAGUGAAGGCAGGAACAAACGAAUUAAAAUCGAUUGUCAUUCGUUAGUGCUUGCCUAAGUCUGCGAGCCUUAUGGGUUGAUUCGGUGAGAUUCCGAAACCGACGGUAUAGUCCGGAUGGAAGAAGAUU